GGGCACGUGGUGUAGUUGGUUAUCACGCUCGCUUAGCAUCUCUUCUGAAAACUUGCGAGAGGGGUCCGGUUCAAUCCCGGACGUGUCCA
rnacentral:tRNA from 1 species